AUGUGUGUGUUUUUAUAUAUACUUUUUUAUAUAUGUGUGUGUGUGUGUAUAUAUAUAUUUGCAGUGGGGACAUGUGGUGGUGUCAGAGGUGCUUGCAGCGGGUGGCAACCUACUUCUCCGGUGUGGCCGGUGGCCAGGCUGGUGGCACCUCUCACACCCGUCCGUCUGUCCCCCCUCCCCAGAAAUGAUUUACAGGCACGUGGCCGUCAUCGACGGGGACAUGGUGCACUUCGAGAUCCUCGACACCGCAGGGCAGGAGGAAGACUCCCUGCAGAUCGAGGAGAAGAUCAAGUGGGGCGACGGCUUCGCCGUGGUCUACUCGGUGACGGACCGCUGCAGCUUCGACGAGGUGGUGCGCCUCUGCUUCCUCGUCAACCACCUCCACGGCAGCCCCAAGCGCCCCGCCGGCGCCGACCAGCCGCCCGUCGUCCUCGUGGCCAACAAGAAGGACUUGCAGUACGACCGCAUGGUGUCCACCGAGGAGGGCCAGAGCCUCGCCAAGGCCUUGAAGCUGCCUUUCUACGAGAUCUCCACCCGCGACAGCUACGAGGAGACGGUGGCCGUGUUCGGCUGCCUCUACCAGGAGCUCCUGAGRCAGGGGCACUUCUCCCCGGGCUCCUUCAAGAGGCGGACGGCCUCCAAGCUGGUGGAGAAGAUCCCCAAGAUGCAGGCGAGCUCCACCUUGACGUCGGCGGGCCGCAGCCUCAGCUUCAACUCCUUCAGGGACUACAUCCCCGAGUGAGCGUCCCCGGGCCGGCGCCGCCGCCUCCGGGGACCUUCUCAGGCCCGCGGCGGGGGGGUUCUGGUUUUAACGUGGAUCGGCCGGGACGGCCUCCCCCCUCCUCCUCCUCCUCCUCCUCCUCUCUCCGCUUGCGCCCCAAAUGCCCGUUAAUCCCUGGCUUUUCUGCAAAAUGACAAAAAAAGCAUUUAUUACCGUUUCAGGCUCCCCGGCGCUCUCUCUUUGGAUGCCACCAUGAAUAAAACGCCUGCGCUGGGCGCCGCUGCCGGGGGG
rnacentral:lncRNA from 1 species